GGUGGCUCAGUGGUAGAGUGCUUGCCUUGCGUGCAUGGGGCCCUGGGUUCGAUUCCUCAGCACCA
rnacentral:tRNA from 1 species